rnacentral:rRNA from 1 species
MSCAWKWCGCCCUUAGAGUUUGAUCCUGGCUCAGAACGAACGCUGGCGGCGUGCUUAACACAUGCAAGUCGAACGUGAUCCAGAGCUUGCUCUGGUGAAAGUGGCGCACGGGUGAGUAACGCGUGGAUAACCUGCCCUGGUAUCUGGGAUAACAUCUCGAAAGGGGUGCUAAUACCGGAUAAGCCUACGGACUCUUCGGAGUCUGCAGGAAAAGGUGGCCUCUAUUUAUAAGCUACCGUAUCAGGAUGAGUCCGCGUGCCAUUAGCUAGUUGGUGGGGUAAUGGCCCACCAAGGCUACGAUGGUUAGCUGGUCUGAGAGGAUGAUCASCCACACUGGAACUGAGACACGGUCCAGACUCCUACGGGAGGCAGCAGUGGGGAAUUUUGCGCAAUGGGGGAAACCCUGACGCAGCAACGCCGCGUGAGUGAUGAAGGCUUUCGGGUCGUAAAGCUCUGUCAGAGGGGAAGAAAUGAGACUGGCUAAUAUCCAGUUUUCUUGACGGUACCCUCAAAGGAAGCACCGGCUAACUCCGUGCCAGCAGCCGCGGUAAUAC